rnacentral:rRNA from 1 species
UACGGAGGGAGCUAGCGUUGUUCGGAAUUACUGGGCGUAAAGCGCACGUAGGCGGCUUUGUAAGUUAGAGGUGAAAGCCCGGGGCUCAACUCCGGAAUUGCCUUUAAGACUGCAUCGCUAGAAUCCGGGAGAGGUGAGUGGAAUUCCGAGUGUAGAGGUGAAAUUCGUAGAUAUUCGGAAGAACACCAGUGGCGAAGGCGGCUCACUGGACCGGUAUUGACGCUGAGGUGCGAAAGCGUGGGGAGCAAACAGG